GAAUAUUGGACAAUGGGGGCAACCCUGAUCCAGCAAUGCCGCGUGUGUGAAGAAGGCCUGAGGGUUGUAAAGCACUUUCAGUGGGGAGGAGGUUUUGCGGGUUAAGAGCUAGCGGAAUGGACGUUACCCACAGAAGAAGCACCGGCUAACUCCGUGCCAGCAGCCGCGGUAAUACGGAGGGUGCAAGCGUUAAUCGGAAUUACUGGGCGUAAAGGGUUCGUAGGUGGUAUAUUAAGUUAUUUGUGAAAUCCCUGGGCUUAACCUGGGCAGGUCAGAUAAUACUGGUAUACUCGAGUAUGGGAGAGGGUAGUGGAAUUUCCGGUGUAGCGGUGAAAUGCGUAGAGAUCGGAAGGAACACCAGUGGCGAAGGCGGCUACCUGGCCUAAUACUGACACUGAGGAACGAAAGCGUGGGGAGCAAACAG
rnacentral:rRNA from 1 species